AGCUCUGGAGCGUUACCCCGUCAGAUUGCAAAUCUGAAGACGCAGACUAACGUUUGCCGGGGCUUU
rnacentral:tRNA from 1 species